rnacentral:lncRNA from 1 species
AACCAUCUCGCGUUCUGUUGCAUUUUUGCAUUUAACUAAUUACUAACAAGUUCUUGUAGUUGGUUGAUUUUUGCAGGAAACAUCGCGUGGUGCGCUCUUUAGCUUAUGAAGGGCAAAACGGUCAUUUGUUUACAGCCGGCCGUCAAGUUUGAAUUUUGAGUUGUAAUCAGGAACUUUGGUUUGUUUGAUCUGGUUGGGAGAUUUUAAUCGGAAAUGGUGUCGGAAGCGAAGUUAGUCGGAUAACCAUAUUGCAUUGUACCGUCAUUUUAUUUUAAAUUAAUUUUAUUUAAUUCUAUUUUAUNN